GACUACCAGCUGUGAUACUUGCCCCCCACACCUUUCACCCUUACCUCAUUUAAUAACUGGAGAUUAACAUAAAAGACAACUGCAGAGGGGGGGACCGACUGAACAUGGGUAGACCCACGACAAACACCAAGACUGUGGGGAAAAGCUGGGAUCCACCCUGUAAACCGACAUGUACGCUUAAUAACCCACAUGGUUUCACGAGCAUGGUAUGACCCUACUCUCUGCAUGCAUAAGUUGUUUGUUUUCUACAAGUGUCACAUAUGCUAUACACAAUCCCAUGCCAACACUGGAUGACCAUUCC